GUGCUUACUUUAGCAGCACAGAUGUUAAAAUUGGAACAGAGAGAAGACUAAUAACAUGGCUCCCGCACAAGGAUGACCCACAAAUUCGUGAAGCGUCUUAGAUUAAA
ensembl:snRNA U6 U6 spliceosomal RNA